rnacentral:rRNA from 1 species
ACUACGGGUGGCAGCAGUGGGGAAUAUUGGGCAAUGGGCGCAAGCCUGACCCAGCAACGCCGCGUGAAGGAAGAAGGCUUUCGGGUUGUAAACUUCUUGUAAGAGGGAAGAGCAGAAGACGGUACCUCUUGAAUAAGCCACGGCUAACUACGUGCCAGCAGCCGCGGUAAUACGUAGGGGGCAAGCGUUAUCCGGAUUUACUGGGUGUAAAGGGAGCGUAGACGGCAAUACAAGUCGGAAGUGAAAUACCCGGGCUCAACCUGGGAACUGCUUUGGAAACUGUAUGGCUGGAGUGCUGGAGAGGUAAGCGGAAUUCCUAGUGUAGCGGUGAAAUGCGUAGAUAUUAGGAGGAACACCAGUGGCGAAGGCGGCUUACUGGACAGUAACUGACGUUGAGGCUCGAAAGCGUGGGGAGCAAACAGGAUUAGAUACCCGGGUAAUC